rnacentral:rRNA from 1 species
AUUGAACGCUGGCGGCAGGCCUAACACAUGCAAGUCGAACGAGUGGCGGACGGGUGCGUAAUGUCUGGGAAACUGCCUGAUCGAGGGGGAUAACUUCUGGAAACUGUCGCUAAUACCGCAUACGAUCAUAUGAUCCGAUGUGGGAUUAGCUAGUUGGCGGGGUAACGGCUCACCAAGGCGACGAUCCGUAGCUGGUCUGAGAGGAUGACCAGCCACACUGGAACUGAGAAACGGUCCAGACUCCUACGGGAGUCAGAAGUGGGGAAUAUUGGACAAGGGGCGCAAGCCUGAUGCAGCAAUGCCGCGUGUGUGAAGAAGGCCUUGGGGUUGUAAAGUACUUUAAGCGGGGAGGCGGUACCCGAAGAAGAAGCACCGGCUAACUCCGUGCCAGCAGCCGCGGUAAUAG